AUUGGACCCUAGCCAGGAGAUGAGGAUGCAUCCAGUGGCCUACUUGAUCUUUUCCCAAAUGUUGUGGCACACGUGGGCACAUUAUCAACCUCCCCUGGAGGUUACUGUGAAGCCCAGGACUGACGCCAGCACAUCAAAAGAUGAGCGCGCUUCAAAGCAGUCUGCAAUUUCAGAGCGGUAAACGCAAGAGAGGACUUUGGCUGAGAAUAGAGCCCCAGGUGGGCCCUUUCUGUUGGGCCUGACUCAGCCCAUGGAGGCAUUUCAACCUACCUCUGAUUAUAGAUGAUUGUCUGUCCUGCAAAAUGGAUUUUCUGCUCUCCUGCAAACAGCUGGACAUCUACGUUCAUUUUUCUCUCCUAAUAACACUUAUUUUCACACAUUUCAACCAGUACUUCUACUCUGUUUUAGUGUUUUGCAUCCAACAUGCAACUCACCACUACCAUCCAUCCUACCCAACGUGUCACUCACUUGUGUUUCCCAGUGCCAGGGCUGCCCGGGAUGCCUGCGAGGAGAGAGGAACAACAGACAGAGAGAGGGAGAGGGGUGCGUCGCCAUGGCAACCAUUUGUUUUUGUUAGAGCUCUGAGUCAGACAUGUGGGUCGUGGGGGUCUGGACAGGGCGCCAGUCCAUUGCAGGUCAACACACAGACAGACAGACAGACAACCACUUACAAUCACUCCUAUGAUCCAUUUAGAGACUCCAAUCAACCUAACAGAUACUGCCCCACGAUACAACAACGUUCACAGGGAGGUGGUCCCGGCCCCAACAACGAGAGAGGACAUCAUCAACUGCCCAAGCAGGGCCACCCUGCCAACCACAGACCGAGAAGAGGCCUACCCAAGCACCCUUAACCGGGCACCGCUACCAAUGCCUCCAGCACAGUUCCCGUGACGUUUGGAAACACAAAACUCUGGUUACCAGUGCCCACACUCAAACGCAAAACCGGAGUUUUACCAAAUCCUCAUUUUGGUCGGAGUAUUCCAAAAGCUCAGUUUUUAAUGACCUUAUUUUGCGUUUUCAUGUAGAUGACAGGCCAAAAUGUAGGAAAAUAUAUUUGUUUUAGCAGAUAGCCGGCUACGUGUCUUUGUUUGGUUGAAUCAUUCAACCUGUGUCAAUCUGGCCUGUCAGGCUUCCUCUGUAUGUGGAGAUAUGAUCAGCUGCAUGUCCGUCAAUAGCUUGUAGAAGCAGCAUAAAGGGAAGUUUAAGAAGUGUUUGGGACAGUUGCUGAGUCCCAGACAGCAACACGUAAGGGAAGCUCUGCAGUCAAAUCAGGAGAGUGAGGAUUGAAAGAAAAAGGUGGGAUAUUUUUAGCAUUUGGAGUGAAAGAGGGCAGUAUGUUCUUAAGGGGUUUUUCCAGAGGAGUAAAUUUAGAGUUGCGUAAAAAGACAGAGGGGGGAAAACAGGAGGGCCGUGCACUGUAGUCUAAUACCUGUCUGAUGUAAGUGUCUGCAAUAGGACCACACACAUUCCUCUCCUCUCCCUGUGGCACGGCCCUGGCUAUAUCAAGCUCUUGCUCAUGCACUUU
rnacentral:lncRNA from 1 species